rnacentral:lncRNA from 13 species
ACGGUGAAGGACACGGCUGUGCCUGUGGCCGAGAUGAGGGUCUACUCGCUCUCCAGCCAGCCCAUCGACCACGAGAUGUCCAAGGCCAAGAUGUCUGACCGCUCCCCUGACAUUGACAACUACUCGGAGGAAGACGAGGAGAGCUAUUCAUCAGAGCAGGACGGGAGUGAUGACCCUGCUCACAGCCAGGUAGGGGGGGGGGGGAGCGACACUCAGAAAAAUACCACACUGCUUCAUUACAAGCAUUUAAGCCGGCGUACAGCAGAGUGGAUGGAGGGUUUGUCCGGUUUGAGCACGAAGUUGACCCUCCCUCUUUUUUUUCCCUCCAGUAUCUGUUUGACGAAGAGGAUGACAUGAGGAAGAAGAAGCACAGACACAAACUCACCUCUACAGCCUCCAUCACCAGAGCUCAUGUAAGCAUCCAGUCUACUCGUCUGCCUGUCUCUGUGGCGUUGGGACUACCUGCCGCUGUUCUAGUCAACCAGUUUGAUAUCUACGUGUUCCUUUAACCCGGCAGCCCAACAUCAAGCAGAAGUUUGUGGCCUUGUUGAAGAGGUUUAAGGUGUCUGAUGAGGUGGACUUUGGCCUGGAGCAUGUGUCCCAGGAGCACAUCCGUGAUGUGGAGGAGGACCUGGAUGAGCUCUAUGACAGUCUGGAGAUGUACAACCCCAAUGACAGCGGGCCAGAGAUGGAGGAGACGGACAGCGUCCUCAGCACACCCAAACCCAAACUCAGGUCAUGAGAAGUCGGACUUAUCUGUAGGUAACGGAAAUGUAUGUUCUGACAAACAUCCACCUAACAGAACUCUGGCAAUCUCUCUUCUCUCUGAACGUUCAGGCCCUUCUUUGAGGGCAUGUCCCAGUCCAGCUCGCAGACCGAGUUUGGCAGUCUGAACAGCAGGUGCAGUCUGCCCAGAGACACCCUGAGCCCAGUGAGUACAGUACAUGAGGGUGGCUGGGCCUUCUAAGUCCAGAUGUCCUCUGGCACUCCCUCUUACCACUGUUUUCCUGCUGUCUGACUUUCAGCAAGGAGAGCAGCCCCCGUCAGGCAAGAUGAAACGCUCUCGCUCCCGCAACUUGGACGACUCUGAGACAGACACCCUGGUGAGACCCUCUAACCUCCCCCUCCUCCCUCGCUCCCUCUCUUAUUUUCCCCCUCUCUCAUUGGUGGCCUCUGUAUUUCAGUGUUUUGAGGCCUGUGCGGUGUUAAGAUGUGUUUCUGUCUGGCUGUCUGUCGGUGUGUUUAGGUGCUGACUGAUCCGGAGAUGUUUCUGGACACUACCCCCUGCAUCACUGUC